CGGAUCGUAACUUUCGUCGUAAGGCGUACGGAAAACAUCACAGGGAAGUAUCGCCUCUUCUAGGCUUGAAGAAUUUCGAUAUUAUUGAUGAUGUCAUAGUUGGUGACAAUCUUCAUUUAAUCGAUUUGGGGAUAAUGCGUAGAUUACUAUUAGGUUGGAGAGAUGGAAAACUAGGUCUUAGAACUAAAUGGUUUGCUAAACAGAUUGAAGAAAUAUGUAAAAAAAUUAUAAAAGUUAAACUGCCCAAAGAAAUCCAUCGAAAACUUGGUCCACUAGAAGACUUCACAUUUUGGAAAGGUACAUACCCAAUUCCAUAGUUUUUUUAAACUAUCUUAGCAUUUAUAUUUUGAAAGAUAAUUUGCCUGAUAAAGAAUAUGAGCACUUCAAACUCUUGUUUUGUGCCAUAGUUUUGCUAUCUUCUGAAGUUUAUCGUUCUAAUUGGAAAAUCGCUGGUGAAAUGCUUAAGGUUUAUGUUGAAGAUUUCGGUAAACUGUACGGAGAGAAAUUUUUAACCAGUAAUGUGCACAACUUAAUUCACAUCUCAAAAGAAGUACAAAAGUUCGGUCCUUUACCUUCAAUUUCCACCUAUGAUUUUGAAAAUGCUCUGGGAGGUUUAAAAAAACAUCUUCGCAAAGCAGAUCAGCAUCUUCAACAAAUAGUAAAUAGACUAUCGGAAUUGGAAGCAUUUAGUCAUGAUUUACGUUCUAUGAAUCAUAAAGAGUUUUGCAUAUCAACCAAAACCAAACCAAAUGGGGAUACCAUCUUGCAAAUGAAAAAUUUUAUACUUUAUACUUUUUUAUACUAACGAACUAGUUUGUCAUCCUGGCGAUAUUAAAUGCAAAUUAGUUGCGUAUAGUGUAGAUAAUAGUUCUGAUUAUUUGUUUAUUCCAUUGUUGCACACGUUAACCUAAGUUUAAUUUCAUGUAUUGAAAUAGAAAAUGUUAGAGCUAGAUUUAUAUAGUAAGUAAGGCAAAUAAAUGAAAGGUUUUAUGUUUUUUAAAUGUAGACAAGAUUUAUAUUAAUUUUCUUUUACGGCUAGUUGAUUUGCGUAGACCUUUGGCCUUAGAUCGUUCUAAUGCGUGUUUCAAUCUAUUCAUGAAGAAACCUCGCACCGUUUCAUCUGUGACUGGCACAAGAUCUUCGGCAUUGUCUACGAAUGGAUGGUCAAAACCAGUGAGAUUAGUAGUACUUACUACGUGCUUCGCCAGUAAGUUGUGGCAAUAGCCCAAUGCAAUAGCCAGCAUUCGGAACACAAUACUCGAUUGAAACAAAAAACUAGAACCUUCCAGUUUGCAGUCUGACGAAUUUAUGAGGAAUUUUCAAACCCAACACAAUACU